GGGGGCUGGUGGGGGCGUUGCCGCGCGCGCGCCGUGAUUUCGAGGCCUCCUCAUUGUUAAACACCUAAGGUCGCGCCAUGAGUGACGCGGACGGAGGCGCGGCCGGCGGCUCCGGCAGCCUGGGCAUGCUGUUCCUGCGCCGCACGGCCGCCAUCCUGGGUAUCUACGCGGUCGGCUACCUGGAGCUGUCGCCCGCCUGGCUGGUCGGCGGCAUCAUCCUCUCCGUGAUGAGGGAGAAGUGGAGCCGCCAGAAGAAGACCAAGCGCGAACUGGCGCGCGCCAUCGCGCUCAACAGCGAGCAGGUCACUCUGGCCAAACUGCAGGACCUGCCCUCCUGGGUUCACUUCCCUGAUGUAGAAAGAGCAGAGUGGCUGAACAAGAUGCUGAAACAAAUGUGGCCAUAUGUGGGCGACUACGUCAAGAACUUGUUGAAGACGCAGUUCGAAGCCAGCUUGGCGGCCACCAUGUCCGGCUACAAACUCUACAACUUCAAGUUCGAGAAGAUAUACCUCGGUGAUAUUCCGCCCCGGGUUGGCGGAGUGAAGGUGUAUUCGGAUAACGUUCAGCGCUCCGAGAUCAUCAUGGACCUGGAGAUCUUUUAUGCGGGCGAUUCACGCAUCGAGUGCAGCUUCAGUCGCAUGACGGCGGGCAUCAAAGACUUUCAGCUUCACGGCGUAAUGCGUAUCGUGUACAAGCCGCUCAUCAGCUCGAUCCCCAUUAUCGGAGGCAUGCAGCUCUUCUUCCUCAACAACCCGGACAUCGACUUCAACAUGCUCGGCGUGGCUGAUGUGCUCGACAUGCCCGGCCUCAGCGGCAUCCUGCGCAAUGUGAUCGUGGACACGAUAGCCGCCAUGAUGGUGCUGCCCAACAAGUGGCCCAUCAUCCUGUCGGACCAGGUGCCGACCAAGAUGGUGACCGCCUCACAGCCAAAGGGCGUGCUCCGUCUGCGACUCAUCGAGGGCAAGGAUCUGAUGAAGAAGGACCGCAACAUCUUCGGCCAGGGCAAGUCCGACCCCUACGCCAUCAUCUACAUCGGCGCCAAGCAGUUCAAGACCAAGUACAUCCAGGAUACUGUGGAUCCUGUCUGGAACUACGUCUGUGAGUUUGCCCUGCUUGAGUCGGUGGGUCCGCGACUGUGGGUGGAGCUCUCCGAUUCCGAUGAUCCCGGCAACAAAGAUGAUAACCUGGGCAGGUGCGGUCUGGAUGUGGCAGACAUCGCCAAGGCUGGAUCCCAGGACUUGUGGGUUCCCCUGGAGCAGGCCCGCAGUGGCAGGAUCCACCUGAAGCUCGACUGGCUCAGCCUGUCGACAAACGUGGCUGAUAUCAAAAAGCAACUGAACGAGAUCGAGGACCUGUCUGCGUUCGACCACUCCGGCCUGCACUCGGCAGUGCUGACCGUGUUUGUCGACUCGGCCAAAAAACUGCCGAUGGCGUCGCGGGCGGUGGAGCCCGACCCGCUGGUGCGUCUGGUGCUGGGUAACCAGAAGGAGGCCACCUCGUGCAAGUACCGCACCCUGGACCCCGUCUGGGAGGAGGGCUUCAGUUUCCUCGUCAAGAACCCGCUCACGCAGACCAUGACUCUGGAGGUGGAGGACCAGAGCUCUGGUAAGUCGCUGGGCUCGAUGCAGCUGGAGCUGAAGUCGCUGCUCCGAGAGGCGGAUCUGUCUGUGACCGAGCAGCCGCACACCCUGUACAACUCGGGCCCGCAGUCCAAGGUGGUGCUCUCCAUUCAGCUGAGGAUUUUGACCCACGACAAGGUGGCACCCGAGGACCUCGAGGGAAAGAUACCGUCAGCGAUGCCGCUGCGUCCGGUGGCUCCGGCCCCGCCGCCGGCCGCCAAACCAGACACUGACGCGGCCUCCGGUAAGACUGCCGACCCCGCCCAGCCGACUGCCGUGCCUGACCCGACCCCGGCCGUGCCCAAACCGGCCGCCAAGACGGAUGACGUGCCGCCGUCGCCGCCCAGCCCCGUCAAAAAGGAGACCAAGAAGAGGGAGUCCAAGGUGGAGCCCGUGCCGGCUGAGACCCGCGAGGAGGUGGAGACGCUGCUCCAGGACCUGUCCACCGACUCACCGGUCACAGAGACGUCCGGACUGAGGCAGCGCAAACCGGAAAAUCCUGCGGGUGCGGACCGUCUGGGUCGGAUCCAGCUGACCCUGCGGUACAGUACCACCCGCGGACGGCUCGUCAUCACCGUGCACAAAGUGGCGAACCUACCCAUGCAGGGUGACGACAUCCCUGAUCCGUACGUCAAGACGUACUUGCUGCCGGACAAAUCGGAGAGCAACAAACGGAAGACUCAGACAUUCAAGGACAACUGCAAUCCCGUCUACGAUGAAACCCUGGAGUAUGACGGCUCUCUGAACGAGACCCGCAUCCGCACACUGGAGGUGCUCGUCGUCAGCAAGAAGUCGUUCGCGCGAAACCCCGUGCUCGGAAUGAAACACAUUGACCUGCGCGGAGUGAACCUGGAGGUGGGAACCACCGAGUGGUUCGACCUGGAGCCGGAGGAGCGAUUCGACUCUUCGGAAGACCAGACAGAGUACGACCCGUACAGCUCGGUCGGCUCCAAGGGCAGGGCGUCGCCGCCCAGUCCCGUCAGGAAGGACUCGAAGCGGGAGAAGAAGGUGGAGGUGGUCCCCGCACAGGACCGGGAGGAUGUAAACGCUCUCAUCCGAGAGCUGUCCUCCGACCGGCCGACCUCCGAGGCCCCGGCGCCCGCCGAAAAGUCAGCCGGGGCGGACGGCCUGGGUCGCGUGCAGCGACUCUCCGCUACAGCGACACCAGAGAGGCGGUGCUGGUCACCGUACACCGGGCGGCGAACCUGCCUAUGCAGGGUGACGACAUCCCCGAUCCGUACGUCAAGACGUACCUGCUGCCGGAUAGAUCGGAGAAGAACAAACGGAAAACGGAGAAACUGACGGACAACUGUGACCCGGUGUAUGAGGAGACGUUUGAAUACAAAGGUCCGCUAGGCGAGGCCCAGCUCCGCACACUGGAGGUGCUCGUCGUCAGCAAGAAAACGUUCGCCAGGAACCCCGUCAUCGGAAUGAAACACAUUGACCUGCGCGGAGUAAACCUGGAGGCGGGAACCACCGAGUGGUUCGACCUGGAGCCGGAGGAGCGGUUCGACUCCUCGCACCCGAAGCCCGCAGCAGUGCCGGAGCCGAAGCCCGCGGCAGUGCCGGAGCCGAAGCCCAGCUCGGAGAAACAGGAGCCUCCCCAGCCUACAGCGGGGCCAAUUCCGACUGAGACCCCGGCCAGUGACAAGCAGCCCUCUGAUGUGACGUCACCCGGUACCCAGCCGGCUGAAACACCUCAGAAGACCGAGCCAACCAACUCUGCCGGGGCCGAUGGUCUGGGAAGGGUUGAGCUCACCCUUCGCCACAACCGUUCCAAGGAAGCCCUCGAGAUCACCGUCCACAGGGUGGUAAACCUGCCUAUGCAGGGUGACGACAUCCCUGAUCCGUACGUCAAGACGUACUUGCUGCCGGAUAGAUCGGAAAAGAACAAACGGAAGACGAAGAAACUGACGGACAACUGUGACCCGGUGUUUGAGGAGACGUUUGAAUACAAAGGUCCGCUGAGCGAGUCCCAGCUCCGCACACUGGAGGUGCUCGUCGUCAGCAAGAAAACGUUCGCCAGGAACCCCGUCAUCGGAAUGAAACACAUUGACCUGCGCGGAGUGGACCUGGAGGCGGGAACCACCGAGUGGUUCGACCUGGAGCCAGAGGAGCGUUUCGAAUCCUCUCACCCCAAGUACGACCCGUACAGCAGCCCGGCCCCGCCGCCGGCGGCGCCUCCUGUGCCCGAGCCUGAGGUGAAACAGGAGACCCCCUACCCCGCUCCGGCGGGUUCCGGGAAGACGGCGCAGGAGUCGGAGUCGGCAGAGCCCGUGCCGGUGGCUGCGCCACUGGUGGAGCCGCCGCCCGCCGCCAGCACCCAGCCGGCCAAACCGCCGCAGCAUCUGGGUGGAGCUGACAAGCUGGGCAGAAUCCAGCUAACCCUGAAAUACAACCAGGCCCGCUGCGCACUUGCCGUCGUCGUGCAUAAAGUCACGAACCUGCCGAUGCAGGGUGACGACAUCCCCGAUCCGUACGUCAAAACGUACUUGCUGCCGGAUAGGUCGGAGAAGAACAAACGCAAAACUCAGAAAUUCAAGGACAACUGCAAUCCCGUUUAUGAGGAGACCCUGGAGUAUGAGGGGAAGCUGCACGAGCUCCUGCGCACCCUGGAAGUGCAGGUUGUCAGCAAGAAGACGUUCGCCCCCAACCCCAUCCUGGGCAUGAAACAUAUUGACCUGAAGUCCUUCGACCUGGAAAACGGGAUGACUCUCUGGUUUGAUCUGGAGCCCGAAGACAGGUUCGACGAAUCGGAGGCUAAGCCAUCCACUCCGGCUUACGACCCGUACAGUCGUCCCCCGGCGGCCGCCGCUCCGCCACCGGUCGCGGAGCAGCCCAAACAGAAACCAGUGACGCCCCAGGAGAGUGCGGUGCAGAGUUUGAUCCAGGACCUCUUGCCUGAAGACAUUCCCCUGCGUGAGGAUCCCCCGGGACAGGCUGCCGCACCCAGCCAGUCACCGCCGCAUCCGGCCGGCGCGGACCGCCUGGGCAGAAUUGAGCUCACCCUCCGCUACAGUCACAUGAAGGACGCACUAGAGGUCACCGUGCACAGAGUCGCGAAUCUGCCCGUGCAGGGUGAUGACAUCCCUGAUCCGUACGUCAAGACCUACCUGUUGCCGGACAAAUCGGGGAGCAACAAACGGAAAACUGAGAAAUUCAAGGACGAAUGCAAUCCCGUAUACGAAGAGACGUUCGAAUACAAGGGGAAGCAGAGUGAUGUCGGCAGUCGCACUCUUGAGGUUCAGGUGGUCAGCAAGAAAACCUUCGGCUGGAACCCAGUCCUCGGCAUGAAACACAUUGACCUGCGCGGCGUGAACCUGGAGGCGGGAACCACCGAUUGGUUCGACCUGGAGCCAGAGGAGCGAUUCGACUCGUAAGCGACACGCUCUUCUCCGAGCUGCAGCAGUUCUCUAACCACCGACUGAAUUCCCUUAUACACCGCCGCUGGCGGCAGGCGGGGAGAACCGCCUGACCGGCUGAUUAGUGCUUUAUCUGUCCGUCACAAGCGUGUAGGCUGUGAUGGGGACUGAGGAGUCAGGUCCCUCACUAUCUUGCUUGGACGUUGGUUUUUUAACUCUGCUGUUUUUCUCCUGGUUGGCUUGUGUGCGCGCGAUGUGACUUUUGUUGGUUCUGUUGUCAGAGUAUGUCAAAGGUCGCUGAAACAGAGGUCGAUCUGUUUUGCUUUCUUUGCUUGGAAUGUAAAGGUGCUGAGCAGCAGCCCAUAUUCACCCCCUCAGGGCCCCAGCGCCCCUGUUUUUUUUCAUGGUGGCAGUUUUCUGAAUACGAUUGACACACAUCAGGGUGAUAAUUCUGGCUGUCUGUGGAUACCGAGUCACUGGUUGUUACUUAAUAAUGCUGUCUGUGAUCCUGGUUGUUGCAAGCGAUGUUACGAAGCAAUAUAAUGUGCUUGGACAGUUAACCGAUGCAUCAUACACAUGCAAUGCAUUCUGUUGGUUAUUGCCAUUGGUGCGACCCUGGGAUGUUUGCUCCUCUUACGAUGAUGGACUUAGUCUCACUUCUCUUGAAUCUACUUACCUUACCAGUGACAGAAUGGCAUUCGCGUUGCCAUAGUUAUGGUCUAUGCUAGUCCGAGAUGGAGCGGCACGUCGUUGCUACCGCUCUUCCGUGUGGUGCGUUCAGACUGAAUGGUGGACAGAUCUGUAUGAAAGAGGCCAACCAGACCCUGUGCUUGGGUUUGCUAUCUGUUAACUAAUAGACUUGUAAUGCUCCUUGCUUUGUCAUAAUAUAUUUAGCCUUGUCAA